UUUAGAUAGAAUCUCAUGUAUCCCAGGCUGGCCUUGAUCCCUCUUUGUAACUUUGAACACCGGAUCCUCCUGUUCCCAUCUUGAGAAUGCUCAAAUUACAGUCCCAGAGUCCUCAGUGCGGUCCAGUGCCACUGUCAUGUUCUGAAAGGUGUCUCCACUGCCGAUGUGAUCCGCAGAGGGACACUGACUUCAUUCCCGACCCACUCGGUGCCUUCUUUCUGUUCCAGAUCAGCCUGGCAACCCCAGGGCAACAGACACUGCUCGGGUCUCAGACAUCAGCUGCCAAAGGCUCCCCAGUGAAGGGUGAGACGUCAUGGCAUCAUCUCCCUGAGACGUCAUGGCAUCAUCUCCCUGAGACGUCAUGGCAUCUCCCAUCCCCCCCGAGAACUUUGUGUGGCCUGACUUCGCACAGGUCUUGUGCACGCUGAGUCUGUGUGUACAACUGCCCAUUGUGUCUGGAAGUUUCCCUACAAUCACCCACCUCCUCUGCCUCUUCUGGUCAUUCUGCUCCCUCCUGCAAUGACCCACAGGCUUUGGGAAGAAAGGGGUGAUAAGACUCGGCACUAAAUUCUUUCCACAUUUU